rnacentral:rRNA from 1 species
UACGGAGGGGGCGAGCGUUGUCCGAAGUUACUGGGCGUAAAGCGCGUGUAGGCGGGUUGCCAAGUCCGCUGUGAAAGCCCGAGGCUCAACCUCGGAGGGUCGGUGGAUACUGGCAGUCUUGAAGUUGCUAGGGGGAGAUGGAAUUACCGGUGUAGCGGUGAAAUGCGUAGAGAUCGGUAGGAACACCAGUGGCGAAAGCGGCGCACUGGAUCCUUUCUGACGCUGAGGCGCGAAAGCCAGGGGAGCAAACGGG